rnacentral:tRNA from 1 species
GCCUUAAUAGUAUAAAAAUUACAUUGGUCUUGUAAACCAAUAAUGGAGUAUAAAACUCCUUAAGACA